rnacentral:rRNA from 1 species
GAUGAACGCUGGCUACAGGCUUAACACAUGCAAGUCGAGGGGAAACGACGGGGAAGCUUGCUUCCCCGGGCGUCGACCGGCGCACGGGUGAGUAACGCGUAUCCAACCUGCCUCUGACUGAGGGAUAACCCGUCGAAAGUCGGCCUAAUACCUCAUGGCAUCGUCUGCGGGCAUCCAACGACGAUUAAAGAUUUCAUCGGUCAGGGAUGGGGAUGCGUCUGAUUAGCUUGUUGGCGGGGUAACGGCCCACCAAGGCUACGAUCAGUAGGGGUUCUGAGAGGAAGGUCCCCCACAUUGGAACUGAGACACGGUCCAAACUCCUACGGGAGGCAGCAGUGAGGAAUAUUGGUCAAUGGGCGGGAGCCUGAACCAGCCAAGUAGCGUGCAGGAAGACGGCCCUAUGGGUUGUAAACUGCUUUUAUGCGGGGAUAAAGUGAGGGACGUGUCCUUCAUUGCAGGUACCGCAUGAAUAAGGACCGGCUAAUUCCGUGCCAGCAGCCGCGGUAAUACGGAAGGUCCGGGCGUUAUCCGGAUUUAUUGGGUUUAAAGGGUGCGUAGGCCGUUUGAUAAGCGUGCUGUGAAAUAUAGUGGCUCAACCUCUAUCGUGCAGCGCGAACUGUUGAACUUGAGUGCGUAGUAGGUAGGCGGAAUUCGUGGUGUAGCGGUGAAAUGCUUAGAUAUCACGAAGAACUCCGAUUGCGAAGGCAGCUUACCGUAACGUUACUGACGCUUAAGCACGAAGGUGCGGGUAUCGAACAGG